rnacentral:tRNA from 1 species
GGAAGAGUGGCCGAGCGGUUUAAGGCACUGGUCUUGAAAACCUGUGCAACAGCCCUGAAAGCCAAUAACCACAAAGGGUCAUUUCCGCAUUCCACCA